rnacentral:tRNA from 1 species
UAGCUCAGCUGGCUGGAGCAUGGUGCUAAAAACACCAAGUUCAUAGGUUCAAUCCCUGU